UGGAUCUGUGAUGACACCUGGUGGCUCUGUGAUGUCACCUGAUGGUCACUCUCUGGUACUGUGAGGUCAGC
rfam:Cricetulus griseus cell line CHO-K1, whole genome shotgun sequence.